rnacentral:tRNA from 1 species
GCGGCAGUAGUAUAGUGGUCUAGUAUACGGCGUUGCCAACGCUGUGACCCGAGUUCAAAUCUAUGACGUUGACUAUGGUCUGAACGUCAAGUGAAUGUCUCGGCUGCCGCA